rnacentral:rRNA from 1 species
UACGUAGGGUGCGAGCGUUGUCCGGAAUUAUUGGGCGUAAAGAGCUCGUAGGCGGUGUGUCGCGUCGGCCGUGAAAACCUGGGGCUCAACUCUGGGCGUGCGGUCGAUACGGGCAUCACUUGAGUUCGGCAGGGGAGACUGGAAUUCCUGGUGUAGCGGUGAAAUGCGCGGAUAUCAGGAGGAACACCGGUGGCGAAGGCGGGUCUCUGGGCCGAUACUGACGCUGAGGAGCGAAAGCAUGGGCAGCGAACAGG